GAUGAACGCUGGCGGCGUGCCUAAUACAUGCAAGUCGAGCGAACGGACGAGAAGCUUGCUUCUCUGAUGUUAGCGGCGGACGGGUGAGUAACACGUGGAUAACCUACCUAUAAGACUGGGAUAACUUCGGGAAACCGGAGCUAAUACCGGAUAAUAUUUUGAACCGCAUGGUUCAAAAGUGAAAGACGGUCUUGCUGUCACUUAUAGAUGGAUCCGCGCUGCAUUAGCUAGUUGGUAAGGUAACGGCUUACCAAGGCAACGAUGCAUAGCCGACCUGAGUGGGUGAUCGGCCACACUGUAACUGAGACACGGUCCAGACUCCUACGGGAGGCAGCAGUAGGGAAUCUUCCGCAAAGGGCGAAAGCCUGACGGAGCAACGCCGCGUGAGUGAUGAAGGUCUUCGGAUCGUAAAACUCUGUUAUUAGGGAAGAACAUAUGUGUAAGUAACUGUGCACAUCUUGACGGUACCUAAUCAGAAAGCCACGGCUAACUACGUG
rnacentral:rRNA from 1 species